rnacentral:lncRNA from 13 species
AUCAGCGGAAUGACGGAACAGAACCGAAGCGUCGGAACAGAACCGAGUGGCGUCGCAACUUCUUUAACCGAACGCGGUGAACCGGGCGGACGCAGCGGACCGGCCGGACGCGGCGGACCGGCCAGACGUAUCAGGACGUAUGCAACAUGAAUCGGAACAGGAGCGAGCGGCACGGUAUCGCGACUUGUUUAAUAGCAAAUUUAUUCUCUCCAUGUGUAAAGUUUAUGUACACUCGUUGACGAUUUAAAUGAAAAUAAACGAACCGCAGCCGGUUCGUCGCGUCGCGCGUUUGUUCCGGGAGUGCCGUUUAAAGUAAUUGAACUUAAUCAGUUCACGGGCGUAAUUUUAGUGUAUUUAACGCGAGUGUUCCGCGAGUGCAACGCGACGAGAAGACGCGAGGAAGGCACUAAGAUCUGAGAGAAAGAGGAAGCCUGGUACAGGCAUCGGACCUCAGCGGA